UACGUAGGGGGCUAGCGUUAUCCGGAAUUACUGGGCGUAAAGGGUGCGUAGGUGGUUUCUUAAGUCAGAGGUGAAAGGCUACGGCUCAACCGUAGUAAGCCUUUGAAACUGGGAAACUUGAGUGCAGGAGAGGAGAAUGGAAUUCCUAGUGUAGCGGUGAAAUGCGUAGAGAUUAGGAAGAACACCAGUGGCGAAGGCGAUUCUCUGGACUGUAACUGACGCUGGAGGCUCGAAAGCGUGGGGAGCAAACAGGAUUAGAUACCCCCGUAGUCCCUGAGCGGG
rnacentral:rRNA from 1 species